rnacentral:rRNA from 1 species
GAUGAACGCUGGCGGCGUGCCUAAUACAUGCAAGUCGAGCGAACAGACGCGGCGCUUGCUCCUCUGACGUUAGCGGCGGACGGGUGUGUCACACGUGGAUACCCUCCCUAUCAGACUGGGAUAACUUCGGGAAACCGGCGCUAAUACCGGAUAAUCUCUUGAACCGCAUGGUUCAAUAGUGAAAGACGGUUUUGCUGUCUCUUAUAGAUGGAUCCGCGCCGCAUUAGCUAGUUGGUAAGGUAACGGGUUACCAAGGCAACGAUGCGUAGCCGACGGGAGAGGGUGAUCGCCGACACUGGAACUGAGACACGGACCAGACUCCUACGGGAGGCAGCAGUAGGGAAUCUUCCGCAAUGGGCGAAAGCCUGACGGAGCAACGCCGCGUGAGUGAUGAAGGUCUUCGGAUCGUAAAACUCUGUUAUUAGGGAAGAACAAAUGUGUAAGUAACUAUGCACGUCUUGACGGUACCUAAUCAGAAAGCCACGGCUAACUACGUG